rnacentral:rRNA from 1 species
UAUCAUGCAAGUCGAGCGGACAGAAGGGAGCUUGCUCCCGGAUGUUAGCGNCGGACGGGUGAGUAACACGUGGGUAACCUGCCUGUAAGACUGGGAUAACUCCGGGAAACCGGAGCUAAUACCGGAUAGUUCCUUGAACCGCAUGGUUCAAGGAUGAAAGACNGUUUCNGCUGUCACUUACAGAUGGACCCNCGGCGCAUUAGCUAGUUGGUGAGGUAACGGCUCACCAAGGCGACNAUGCGUANCCNACCUGAGAGGGUGAUCGGCCACACUGGGACUGANACACGGCCCANACUCCUACGGGAGGCAGCAGUAGGGAAUCUUCCNCAAUGGACGAAAGUCUGACGGANCAACNCCNCGUGAGUGAUGAAGGUUUUCGGAUCGUAAAGCUCUGUUGUUAGGGAAGAACAAGUGCAAGAGUAACUGCUUGCACCUUGACGGUACCUAACCAGAAAGCCACGGCUAACUACGUGCCAGCAGCCGCGGUAAUACGUAGGUGGCAAGCGUUGUCCGGAAUUAUUGGGCGUAAAGGGCUCGCAGGCGGUUUCUUAAGUCUGAUGUGAAAGCCCCCNGCUCAACCGGGGAGGGUCAUUGGAAACUGGGAAACUUGAGUGCAGAAGANGAGAGUGGAAUUCCACGUG